rnacentral:rRNA from 1 species
AGUGAACGCUGGCGGCGUGCCUAACACAUGCAAGUCGAACGAAGUGGCGCCCGGGCGCGUAAUAUAUACAUAUUCUGCCCUACACAGAGGAACAACAGUUGGAAACGACUGCUAAUACUUCCUAGUGUAGGAUGAGAUUAUAUCGUAUCAUCUAGUUGGUAAGGUGAUGGCUUACCAAUGCUAUGACGCUUAACUGGUCUGAGAAGAUGAGAAGUCAGCAUGGAUCUGAGGCACGGGCCAAGAACCUACGAGAGGCAGCGGUAAGCAAUAGUGCGCAAUGGGGGGAACCCUGACGAACCAGCGCCGCGGAGAGGAUGACACUUUUCGGAGCGUAAACUCGUUUUAUCAGGAUAGCGGUACCUGAUGAAUAAGCACCGGCUAACUCCGUGCCAGCAGCCGCGGUAAUAC